rnacentral:rRNA from 1 species
UACGUAGGGUGCAAGCGUUGUCCGGAAUUAUUGGGCGUAAAGAGCUCGUAGGCGGUUUGUCGCGUCUGCUGUGAAAACCCGCGGCUCAACUGUGGGCUUGCAGUCGAUACGGGGCAGGCUGGAGUUCGGUAGGGGAGACUGGAGUUCCUGGUGUAGCGGUGAAAUGCGCAGAUAUCAGGAGGAACACCGGUGGCGAAGGCGGGUCUCUGGGCCGAUGACUGACGCUGAGGAGCGAAAGCAUGGGGAGCGAACAGG